rnacentral:rRNA from 1 species
AGGACGAACGCUGGCGGCGUGCUUAACACAUGCAAGUCGAGCGGAAAGGCCCUUCGGGGUACUCGAGCGGCGAACGGGUGAGUAACACGUGAGCAACCUGCCCCUGGCUCUGGGAUAGCCUCCGGAAACGGGGAUUAAUACCGGACAUGACCUGCUGCCGCAUGGUGGCGGGUGGAAAGUUUUUCGGCCAGGGUGGGGCUCGCGGCCUAUCAGCUUGUUGGGGGGGUGACGGCCCACCAAGGCGACGACGGGUAGCCGGCCUGAGAGGGCGACCGGCCACACUGGGACUGAGACACGGCCCAGACUCCUACGGGAGGCAGCAGUGGGGAAUAUUGCGCAAUGGGCGGAAGCCUGACGCAGCGACGCCGCGUGCGGGAUGAAGGCCUUCGGGUUGUAACCGCUUUCACCAGGGCGAAGCGAGAGUGACGGUACCUGGGGAAGAAGCGCCGGCUAACUACGUGCCAGCAGCCGC